UCUAAAAUGGAUUGGUGGUCAAAACUACCCACCAAUCCUAGGUGUUAGGUGGUUAGGGUGUGUUAGUGUAUAAAAUUUCCUAAUUUGCCCCUUAUUAGUAAAUUGUGUGGGUUAUACUCAUGCCCGUUUACCCGUUAAACCAUUUAUUUUUAAAGAACUUUCUAUUUUUAAAUCCCAUAAAUCUUAAAUAUCUAAAUGUUAUUUCUAAUUCCCAAAUUCUCAAAAACCUAACUCAAAUCCAUCUAUCGAUUCCAGCCUUUCUCCAACCAACAUUCCAGCUUCUCGACAUCUCUCAUACUCGAUUUCUUCCUCUAUUCCUCUAUGUGUUCAUCGUCGGCCGGCUAUCUUCGAUCAAGAUCAUCGUCAACUUCUCCCAUCUCUUAUCCACAGUGUCCACCGUCAAAAGUCAUGGUCUACUCAGAGAAUCUGUAAGCUC
rnacentral:lncRNA from 1 species